rnacentral:snRNA from 1 species
UAUUGCUUUGGCAAUACAUAUACUAGAAUUGGAACAAUACAGAGAAGAUUAGCAUUGUCCCUGCGCAAGGAUGACACGCAAAUUCGUGAAGCGUUCCAUAUUUCA